rnacentral:rRNA from 1 species
CCCGGUCGACCUCUCUUGCUCCCCUGCGGGAGUGGGAGAGAACCCCCCUUUUUAUCAAG